ensembl:lncRNA LINC00710 long intergenic non-protein coding RNA 710
UUUGAAAAGAUCUGAAGAUACGCCCCUUGGAUGCCUGCAGAGAAGCUCUGGGGCUUCAGUCAAUGACUCAGGGUAGCCACCGAACAUGAUGCUCGGGCAGUGGGUGCCACCUGGACUCCACUCUCCCCUCUCUCUGGGAUCAUAGAGUCCAAGGUGUUCUGUGGCCUCUCGGCCAAUCCCAGCAGCUCAGCGUGCAGAAGACCGAGGAGCCAUUGGAAAAGAAAAAGAGAACAUAUAUCCCCCUACCUUUUGAUUUCCAACAGUCUACUGAGAGGCCAAGAUUAUUUGCAGGGAAAGAAAAGGGGUCAAAAUGUUUUGCCAGUAACUCCCAAAUCAUCUACAGCCAAGGAGAAAAGUGUUUCAAGACAGAGGUGCUCAAUGGUAUCAAAUACUGCCAACAGACCAAGUAAUACAUGCAUUGAAGUGUCUACUGGAUCUAGCUAUAUGAAUUUUUAAUUUAGGACACUUAGGCCAUACUGAAGCAAGGUGACAAAAUGAAUAGCUACAAUGUCUCGUGAAUCUUGGGUUUCCAUUCACCCUGGUAUUCAAGAGAAAUUCUUGCAUCAUGGAAGUUGCAGUUGGAUAGGACUUUCUCAGCUGAACACUGUCAUCUGCCAGAGCUUCAGGCAAGAACCCAGAACAGAUGAAACCCCAGACAUGACAAAAUAAGCCAAAGAAUACCAGGCCAAGGUGUGAAAGGCCAGAUGAGAACAAGCAGCGUACACGAUUCUGUUGCCAACAGAUCUCCCCUAACAGUGUCGUGCACCAAAUUUCCACAGUGAAUGUCAGGAAAAAAUGGCAAUUGAGCAGGGAAUGUCACCAGGAUAAGACAACUGCAAAACCCAUUUGGGUGUGCCAAAUGACUUCAACCGAACCUCCAUGCAAACAACAUACAAGAUGCUUUCUUACUAAAUGCUCAAACAUCAAGUUCUACAUCCAGAACUGCCCCUCAACCCUCACCCUCUCGAACUCAGUAAAAAACAACCCUCUUUCUAGCUCUGCAUUUCCAAUGAAUGCCUCUUCCUCCAGACAUCCCUAGUUUUUGUUCAUGAUACUAGGACAUUCCUAAACUGGAAAUGUGAGAAUCAUGUGGACUGCUCGCUCCCUCCUUCAUUGCCUGAGUUUAAGCAAAUAAUAUUGAUUAGUUUUCCCCAA